GAAAAAAAUAAUUUCAGAACCAUUCAUUAAUUCAACAAACAUUUAUUGAGCACCUACCACAUACCAGAAUUUUGAAAUCGGUAUUGCUUUUGGGGAUUUAUUUUUGUAGUUUGGAUUUCAAUUUGAGUUUGAAUUCUAGGUUUGCAGCCUAUCUAGCUGUGGGAGAAUGAACAAGUCCUUUAACAUCUGUAUCUCAGUUUUUCUGCCUAUAAAAUGGGAAUAAUAAUUGCACCUAAUAACGUUGCUGUAAAAUUUAAUAAUAUAAUCACACAAAACGCUUACAAAAAAAAGAAGUUUCUGCUUGUGAAGGGCACUUCAAAUGAGGUCUCCCAUAUCCCUUUACGGAUAUGUGUCUCUUCUCCUUUGCCAUUAGGAGUAGUUACGUGGGCCAGUUUGGGAACUCUGUGUGCCAAGAAUUAUGCUAGAUGAUGAGGAUACAGAGAUGACUAAAACACAGGCCCUGAUCUCCAGGAUCUUAUAAUGAGGGAAAGAAAACAUUCCCAAGUAGACACUGAAUUCCUGGAGGAUAGGGAACCAUCCCCUAAUUGUCAUUGAGUAAAUUAAACACACAGCUUUCUCUUCCUAUAAUGAUCAGUUAACAAACAUUGCCUGAGCUCCUUGCCCUGUGGGCAAGGCUGUGCUGGCAAGGCUGUGCUGGGUGCUGGUAAUACAGCAAUAAAUCAGUCACAUGCCAAUCCCUCAGGUGGACCUUCUGGUACGGGAAAAAUCAAUGGAGCAGAGACUCACUAGACCCUGAGGGCACUGCACUCAGCUGAGAAGCACUAGAAGCAAAGAUUUGCAGAGGAAGUGAGUUCCAAAUGGGGUGACAUUUAAGACAGAAUCACCCUGCUUUGGGAAAUAUAUCACUUCAACAACAACAAAAAGCAGUGUUACCAACUAUGAAAUGAAAGGAGAUGCCCUUUUGUUUUGUUUCACUGAAGUGAGUUUUUAAAUUAUACUUUUGUAUGUAAAAAAAUUUCUUCAUGGAACCUGUGACAAAACCAUGACAAAUAGCCCCAGACUAAAUUUAAAUUCAUUGGGAUGGCAGUGGCUCCGAGGGUUUCUAUGUUCUCUGUCUUUAAAUUUUUUUGAUUGUCAUAAAAAAUACAUAACAUAAAAUUUGCCAUCUUAACCAAAGAGGGUGGUAGGAAACUGAUUUUGUGAUGCAUAUCUAAACACACACCUGGAAGAUAUUAAUGUAUCGAGACUGAAGGAGCCCGAGAGAGCAAUUUUUUGUGGGAAAAAUUGAUGUACUAUGCAACUUCUUCUACCACUAAAAUGGAGGAAGAGAGAAGGUUCUAUCAUUCACCUUAAGCCAAGUAUGAAAGGGUGCUUUAGUAAAACCACUAAGAGAGCUUGGCAUGUGAACCUGGAGUUUGAGGGGGCUGCAUAAAUUCUGGCAAGAGAAACUGGCUGUGUUGAACUAGAGUGGAAGAUUAUAGAGAGAAAAAGCUACAUACAGAGUAAAUUGCUUCUCACUGACAAGAGGGCAAGAAUGUGUAUUGUCUGUGACCAAAUUUGAAACACAUGUGAAGGUGAUUGCUUGGCGCCAUUUUGAAUUUUGCCCAAGCAUAAUUGAAUUUACCUGGGUUCAUGGUAGGUCCCAGUGGAGAGUCUGUGGGCUGGAAUAGUCCAAUGCCCAGGAACUGAGGGUAGAAACUGUAAGUUGACAGCCAGAGAAAAUGCAUCAUGCAAAAACAAGUUGAAAGGCCUCAGCAGUUAUCUCUGAGGAACCUAUGUAUUUGCCUCAUAAGAUGAAGAAUUCAUCACAUCCAUAAUGCACCAAGAUCAGCUAGCGUCUUUUACCAGUUGUGAUGGUUAAUUUUAUGUGUCAAUUUGACUGGGCCCAUACAUUUGGUCAUACAUGAUUCUAGGUGUAUCUGUGAGAGUGUUUUGGAUGAGAUUAAUAUUGGAAUCCCUAGAUGGAAUAAAGAAGAUGGCCCUCCCUAACGUGGGUGAGUCCCAUCCAAUCAGUUGAACACCUGAAUAAAAUAAAAAUACUAACCCUCCUGUGAGUAAGAGGGAAUUCGUCCUGCCUGAUUGCCUUCAAAUGGGGACAUUAAUUUUUUCCUGUCUUCAGACUUGAACUGAAGCAUCAGCUCUUCCUUGUCUUGGGCCUACUGGCCUUCAGACUGGAAAUACAUCAUCAGCUCUCCUGGGUAUCCUGCAGAUCUUGAGACUUGUCAUACUCCAUAAUUAGGUGAGUCAAUUCCUUAUAACAAGUAUAUUGGAUAUAUAAUAUUAUAUGUACAUAUUACAGUAUAUUAUAUAUGUAAUAUAUGUACGUAAUAGAAAAAAAUAUAUUCUAUUGGUUUUGUUUCUCUGGAGAACCCUAUACACCAGUCACGUAAGACUUAUCUUGUUCCAUACCUGUUCUUCCUCUCUUGGCUCUAACCUGGGUGAGCCAUUGGCAACCUAGUGGUAGGUAAAAUGGGAGGAGGAGAAAAAAUUCCAUGUGGGGAAAUAGAAAAGAAAUGGCUCUCUCCCACACCAUGACUACUAAGAGACAUGAUCUUAUCCACCAGAAGAUAGUUCUGGAUUAGAAGACAUAAACUCUCAGUUCUGGCUCCAGUUAUCUCAGGUAUUAGCUGAGUAAUAUUUAGCAAAGUGACUCAACUUUCUUAGAACCUGUGUUUUCUAAUCAGUGAAAUAGGGCUUAACAAGGCCUGCCUUGCCUCCCUGAUGCAUUGUUAAAAUGAUCAAGAGCUCUAAGAUACUUGAAAAAAAUUAAGGUGGUAAAGCUAUACACAUAUAAGGCAUUUAUAUGAUAUGAUUUCAGAGGAAGAAGAAGGGCCCUUGGCCCUCCUUGAACUUCCCUCAUCUAUAGGUUAAUAACAAAACUUGGAUUUUUUUUUGAAUAGCAGAAAAAUGAAUAUUUAUUUAACAUCAGCUGCAUGAAAGGUCCUGGGCUGGGCAUUUUAACAGAACAAACUCAGUUAAUCUUCACAACAUCUCUGUUUUCCUAUGAAUUAUUAUCUCCAUUUUAUAGAUGAGUAGCCUAAAGCUCAAAGUGAAAACUUUCCCAAGAUCACACACCUAGCAAGUGUUGGAGUUCAGCUGCUAUGCAAACUGAGAAGGACCAAAGGUAUUCUUAGAUAAAGAUGUUUAUAUAGGGAAAAGCUUGGCAAUAUGGAGAUAAUGUCUAUGGAACAAAGGGAAGGCAUGCUUACUGCCUAUUAUGAAUGAUUCUAUAAGCUCAAGUUCUCUAAGUUCAGGGUGCCUCUCCUGUAAUGCAACCCACUUCAUGCACAGAUGACAUUUGGUCCUCCUCACAUUGCCCUGUUGGAAUCUGCACUCCAAAACCAAUGCAAAAAUGACGAUACUCUGGCCACUGCUGUUGCUGUGAGUGAUAAAUUUUCUUUCAUCUGUCAUCUAGGAGUCUCGUAUUUACUACUGGUAUCCAUGAAACUGUAGUAGGCCAACUUGCUAGUUUGAAAGUAGAGUAAAAUCUCAGACCCUUCAAGGUCCUUGACAACCCUAGUCCACAGUCACUUUCCUCUUUUAUUACCACUAUAGCACCUAGCCUCUGAACAAUCCAACUCAAAACACAUUAUGUCUUUUGUUGAAUUGUUUUACAUGUUAAUUUUAUCUCCCAACUAGAUCAUAAGCAUGCGAGAGAGGCACCAUGCCAAUGUUUUUUCUGUCUACCCUGUAGCAGCUGGCACAGGCAUGGGUACAUAGUACGGGCUCAAUAUAUAUUUUUGAUUUACUUUGGUUAUAUGCAUACCAGCUGAAGUAAAAUACUCCAUGCUUUUUAUCAUUGAACUUGCCUUGGAUGUCUUCUUAUAGUUGAAAACAAUAGAUGUACUCUCCUAGAAAUAGAAAAGCUCUAAUGAGAGAUGAAGAAACCAUUUUUCAGGCUUCUAGGAUGCAAGGCAUAUACAUUCUUUAAUCAGUUGGACAUCAUUGACUAAGGGGCCAAUUACAAAGCUAUUCUGAGUCCCACAUUUCCCAAGAUGUUUGUUGUGCUGGGCUGCUAAUAAUUAUCAUGUUUUGGCAGCUGAAGAACUAGAAUAUAGUCUCUGUUUUUGUAGAAAUCAAUGGCCCCAGGAGGUUAUCUAUACCAGCCUACUGUCUGCAACAUCAGUGGGAGCUUAUUUGGCAUUUGAUACCAAUCCCAGAAGAGGAUAUGAAUCCCUGAGUGCAUUUCCCAAUGGCACACGCUCGCUUCUUGUUUUCUUGUAAGUAUCCUAUUAUUAAUGGCCCAUUAUACCAGAAACAAAAAUGUCUAUAUACGCAUUUUCAUUUAGUCUGUCAUUGUUUCCAAUGGUCUGGAUUAUUCGAUUAGUCUCAAUCCAGUUUUCUUUGAGGGAAUAUGGAGACACAAGAGUUGUCUGUCUUUAGUGCUAAAACAUUAAAACUUAGGGCUCUUUCUUAUGGCUAUAGCCUUGAAGAUGCACUCCUUAGCUCCAUAACAUUGUGUUCUUUUCUUUUCUUUUCUUUCCCUUUUCUUUUCUUCUUUUCUUUUCUUUCUUUUCUUUUCUUUUGUUUUCUUUUUUUCUUUCUUGUUGUCAGGACUGCAACACACUCUCAAUUCAGUCUUCCUGAGUGCAACUGAUACAAUUUUACAGAUGUGGCAUGGUCAUCAUUUUCUAACUUUAGCUUUGCUAAUCUGGCAUUUUCUAACUUUAGUUUUGUUAAUUCAGGCUGUUCCUUCUCACUUAAAAAUAUUUCCUCUUAUUUGAAUUUGAGUAUGCUGCCACCAAGUGGUUGCCCGUUCUUUGAUUAACAUGGUCUCAUAAUUCAAACUGCAGGCUGCACUGUUUCUAUUGCUGUUGUUGGUGUAUGUGUCAGGAUUGGGAUAGUGAAUGCCUAUUAAUAGUUGAAGGUAUCAGGUAUUAGAGGGAAUUAGGGCAAAUCUUCAUGAAACAGCAGGAAGAUAUUGAAAAAUAAAAAUGGGCUGUAACUUGAGGAGGGGAGAGGAAGGGCAGUAUGUGUCCAAAGAAUGAGAUCAGGAUUAGAGGAGAUGUGGAGUAGAGGGAACAGAGAAAUAAUAGGAAAAAGGGAAAAUGACCCAGAUUUAAGAGAACUUGAUCGCUGAAACAAUUUUCAUCUUUUGUUUCUGUACUUCCUAUGGUUCUUGUACUUAUUAGGGACUACAAAUACCAAGAUAGAUGCAUUAUCUUGAGCAGGAUUCUGUCUUGUAUAUAUUUGUAUCCCUCACAGUGUCUAAUGUAGUGCUGGGCACAUAGUUGGUUCUUAAUAAAGGUCUGCAUGAAUGACCCAAACCUGCAAGAGUUGAGACAAUAUAUAGUGUAGGCAAGGGGUGCUGGCUUGAGGCACAGGGGCAGCUCCUAAUGAGCAAGCCUUGACAGUGUCUUGCCUCUAUCAAGCUGAUGCCUUGCACAACUUUAGCUGGCUCCUAUGAUCAAUCUUCCAAAUUAGAACCUUCUCCAAAUCUUCUCAGGAAGGUACUUACAUGCCCCCUCCUUCCUCCUCCACUACCUUCUCCAUUCUUUCCUCUUCUCCCUCCUCCUCUCCUUCCUCUACUCCCUCCUUUUCUUCCUCCUCUUCCUCUUUCUCCCCUUCCAAGGCUCUUGAUGUCUUCAUACCUCUGAACAAGUCUGGGUGGUUGGAAACAGAUGACCUCUGGAAGCUUUUGAUUGGAGGAUGAGAGAUCUAGAGUUCUUUCCAUUCGUAAGAUGUAUAGGGAAUGACUGUAUAGGGCUUUCAAAAAAUGCAUAUGAAAAUUGGGGAUUGUUCUAUGUAAGAUGUUUGCUGAAAUUAAUACCUUAGACACAGUCUCCAGAAAGGGGUUUACUCCUGCAUGAUAACAUGCAUGCUAUGUUAUCUUUGGCCUUGGCUAGUAUAUGUUCACAUGACUACUUUUUUCAAGAUACACACUCCCAGAUCUCAAUCUUUACCCAAAUAUUAUAAUUCAUGAAUAUCUGGUGAAAGUGUCCUGUGUGCACUUCCCCUAAUGCAGAAAUGAAAUCCUUGAAGACGAUUGUUUUAGUAAGCAAGUAUGACCUUAGUCACUUGUUUACUUGCUUUAGUAAGACCUGUUUGGCACCAUAAACAUCCACAUAUCUAACACAGAAUUUCCCAGGGAGGUUCCACGUGGAGCAGUAUAGCAUGGUGGAUAAGUGUGAGGGCUUGGGACUACUGACUGCUCAAAUUUUACCUCUGUUGUUUGAUGUUGGGCAAGUCAAUUAAUCUCUCUCUGUGCUUCAGUUUACUAACCUGUAAAAAAGGCUAAUAUAAAUUACCUUACAUGGCUGUUAUGAAGGUUAGGUUAAAUGACAAAACACAUGUAGUGUGCUUAAGCACAGUGCUUAGCAUAUAAUAAGUAUACAAUUAUUGGUAGUUAUUAUAUAAAUUUCUUCCUUGAACAUAAACUUUGGGAAGUGAUGGCCCUGGAUAGUGUCUCUCUUACUAUCAUGUCCUUGUGCUCAGCUUCUGAGGCUUAUGAAGAUGCCCUGGGCACAGAGACUCAGGCUGUCUCCUGGCCCACAGAGUGCGGAACAAGUGGGAGCUUGUAAGCUAAGUAGGAUGUCAUUUUGAGUCACUGCUGCUCUAAUCUCUUUAGACAGUUCUGAAGAACAAUUGGAUUCCCUUCAGUUUUAAUUUCCCUACCUUCUCAGAUAAAUUUUCCAAAUGUCCACUUCCCAUUUCUUCGAUCAAAGCCAGAGUUGAAGGAAGCUGGCCUUCAAUCUCCAACCAGGCUGAGAGCACCAUUUGAGCUCAAGAGCAAAUUGUAUUGGAAAAGAAGCAGAACCACUGACUAAAAUGAAUUGUCAUUAAAUGAGGCUUUAAAUGAAACCACAAGGCAGAGCCUCAUCCUAAUUGGCAGUGGAGUUAAUCGGGUAAGAGGCCAAUUCCAGAUGUCCCAUUGCAGAACUUUUAAAACUCGCUCCCUGCUUCUUUUACUUUCUGCCCCUAACCACCUCUUUCCACCCUCACACCGCCUUUGAAAGAUGAUGAUCAUUGGGCAAAGAUAACACUGAACUAUUUAACAUCUUUUUAAAAUCUAUAAUCUAUAAAUUGAAUGCAGGAAUAGAAAAUGUCAGAACCAUGAUACAAUUUGAAAUGUUUCAUGUGGUAGGGUGGAUAAUGGUACCCCAAAUAUGUCCAUGUUCUAAUCCGUAGACUGAAUAUGUUACUUUACAUGCAAAAUAAACUUUGCCUAUGUGAAUAAGGUAAGAAUCUUGGUACAGAAGGAUUAUCCCAGAUUAUCCAGGUAGGCUCAGUGUAAUCACAAGGGUCCUAAUGAGAGAGAUGAGGAAAGAGUCAGAGGCAGAGGAGCAGAUAUGAUGACAGAAGCAGAGAUUGGAGUGACGACAUAGAAGGUGGAGGAAGGGGCCAAAAGCCGAGGAAUACAGGCAGGCACAGGAAGCCACUUGUCAGCUGAAAGAGACAAGUAAAUGGAUUUUCCCUUCCAAGCCUCCAGAAGGAACUAGCCCUGCCUGCACCACAACUUUAACCCAGUGAGACCCAUUUCAGACUACUGACCUCCAGAACCAUAAGAAAAUAAAUCUGUGUUGUUUUAAGCCAACUGUCUCCCAAAUACUCCCAGAUAUGCUGUAGAGCUGGAAAUUUCCCAAAUUAGAAGUAUUGCUUUGGAUGAUAUCAAUGAAGGACACAAUUGUUAAAAAGCUUCCACUGAAAUGCAAAGGGAAAUGUGUUAGGCAACAUUCAACCUGUUAUGCCUUGAUCUGACUGGCUGGCAGAGAGCACGGAAGAGGACCCAAGAUGCAGGGAUUUCUGGGCCUUGGGGCAUGAAAUUGAUGGGUGGGAUCUGUGUGGCUGGAUGCAGCAAGUGAUGCCUGGGAUGAGAGGAUGCCACAAGGGAGAGAGCCUGAAAACAAAAUCCCAUUUAUCACACUUCUUCUUGAGUUUUCACCCAGUGAAAAACUCAAUGCUUCGGAUGUGAGCAUCACCUUUGUCACUAAUCCAGCUUCAAACCUGUUCCAUAAAGCUCCUGGUAAGCUUAAAGAAAGAAAUAGCUUUUUGCGCUUAUCUAGACUCACAAACUCUCUGACUUGAGACUGACUUCUCUUUGGUCUACCCUUGUAGGAUUUGGUCUCCUUUUGGUAUUCCAAUGUCUUCCAACUUCUACUGCCUAUUUUGGACUCCUGGUCUCCUCUAACUUCAGCUCUUUGGGCUGCCUGCCAGGCACAUUUCUGUUCUUUCUCAGAGGCUUGAGUGUCCUCCUUCCAAGAAUUCUUUGCCCUAACCUGUAAACCAUUGCCUCCCAGCCCCUGGCACCAAAGCCACCAUUAGACCCUGAUUAGGAGACCUCUCAGAUUCUUUAUGAGAUGACCCUGAGAGGCAAUUAUCCUCCACACUGCACACUUUCCAGAGUACUUUGGCCUUUAUAAUAAGAAGUAGCAGAUUUACAGAUGAAGGAUCUUCAAUCCCAAAACCUGCUCUCUCUGUCUGCAACGAACAUACUCCAUCACUUGCUUUUCCCUACCUCUGAUCUCACUCCCAGAGCACUGCAACGAAAGUCCAGAAAAGUGAGGGUCUUUGAACCCAUUAGUAGCUCCCCAAGCCCCAUAUCCACUUGUAGUUUGAUGAAAAUGAGAAGCAUGGAUCUGAUCAGUUGGGCCUUUAUAGAUGCAUGUCAGAUCCACAUGAAUAAUAUGAUCUUCGAGCAACCCAGAAAGGAGAGAGUUUCUGUUUCUCAAGUCCCUUGCCUCAGAGUCAAUACAGUGAUACCAUCCAAGAAAGGAUCUGUAGCCUAGGAUAUAUAACAGAUUCACUUAUUAUGCUGUCAGGACGCCUGAGGCAAAUCCAUCCAAAUGUGAGUGCUGACUUCUUAGGAACUGGACAAGUGAGCUCAGGUACUGUAAAGGAGCACCUAUGACUUGUUUACCAGGUCUAAGUUGCACAAUCACAAGAGCCCAAGAAUAUCAAAUAAUCCACAUCAAAUUUUCAAACAGCCAGACAUGAUAUGUUCUCAAUUCCCAGGCCACGUUUAUUAUUAAAUGAUGUUCUAGCCCUUUGACAAUACCUGCUAUUAGAACCAGGGCUUGGGUGGUGGUGGAACAGGCCACAGUGGCAUAGACAAGACCUGGGAAUUCAGGAAGUUUUCCUUGGUCAGGAGAAGUCUGCGGCUGGGACAAGUAUGAUGUAGUUUGGAUGUUUGUCCCCUCGAAAUCUCAUUUUGAAAUGUAAUUCCCAAUGUUGGAGGUGGGGCCUGAUGGGAGGUGAUUGAAUCAUGGAGGCAGCUCCCUCAUCAAUAGCUUAGCACCAUCCACUUGGUGAUAAGUGAGUUCUUGCUCAGUGAGUUUGCAUGAGAUCUGAUUGUUUAAAAGAGUCUGAGACC
rnacentral:lncRNA from 1 species